AACGUACGCUGGCGGCACGCCUAACACAUGCAAGUCGAACGCAGUAGCAAUACUGAGUGGCAGACGGGUGAGUAACAUGUGGGAAUCUGCCUUGUGGUUCAGGACAACAUUGGGAAACCGAUGCUAAUACUGGAUAAGCCCUUACGGGGAAAGUUUUUAAUGCCAUAAGAUGAGCCCGCAUUUGAUUAGUUAGUUGGUGAGGUAAUGGCUCACCAAGACAAUGAUCAAUAGCUGAUCUGAGAGGAUGAUCAGCCACACUGGGACUGAGACACGGCCCAGACUCCUACGGGAGGCAGCAGUGGGGAAUAUUGGACAAUGGGCGAAAGCCUGAUCCAGCAAUGCCGCGUGAGUGAUGAAGGCCUUAGGGUUGUAAAGCUCUUUUACCCGAGAUGAUAAUGACAGUAUCGGGAGAAUAAGCUCCGGCUAACUCCGUG
rnacentral:rRNA from 1 species